rnacentral:rRNA from 1 species
UACAGAGGUCCCAAGCGUUGUUCGGAUUCAUUGGGCGUAAAGGGUGCGUAGGUGGCUCCAUAAGUCGGGCGUGAAAUCUCGGGGCUUAACUCCGAAACUGCAUUCGAUACUGUGGUGCUUGAGGACUGGAGAGGAGACUGGAAUUCAUGGUGUAGCAGUGAAAUGCGUAGAGAUCAUGAGGAAGACCAGUGGCGAAGGCGGGUCUCUGGACAGUUCCUGACACUGAGGCACGAAGGCCAGGGGAGCAAUCGGG